rnacentral:rRNA from 1 species
UACAGAGGCCUCGAGCGUUAGGCGGAAUCACUGGGCUUAAAGCGUGUGUAGGCGGACUUCUAAGUGCCUUGUGAAAUCCCACGGCUCACCCGUGGAACUGCUGGGCAUACUGGGAGUCUUGAGCCACCUAGGGGCGAGCGGAACAAAUGGUGGAGCGGUGAAAUGCGCAGAUAUCGGGAGGAACACCGGUGGCGAAGGCGGUUCUCUGGGCCUGUACUGACGCUGAGGAGCGAAAGCGUGGGGAGCGAACAGG